rnacentral:rRNA from 1 species
GAUGAACGCUGGCGGCGUGCCUAAUACAUGCAAGUCGAGCGAACAGACGAGGAGCUUGCUCCUCUGACGUUAGCGGCGGACGGGGGAGUAACACGUGGAUAACCUACCUAUAAGACUGGGAUAACUUCGGGAAACCGGAGCUAAUACCGGAUAACAUGUUGAACCGCAUGGUUCAACAGUGAAAGACGGUUUUGCUGUCACUUAUAGAUGGAUCCGCGUCGCAUUAGCUAGUUGGUAAGGUAACGGCUUACCAAGGCAACGAUGCGUAGCCGACCUGAGAGGGUGAUCGGCCACACUGGAACUGAGACACGGUCCAGACUCCUACGGGAGGCAGCAGUAGGGAAUCUUCCGCAAUGGGCGAAAGCCUGACGGAGCAACGCCGCGUGAGUGAAGAAGGUCUUCGGAUCGUAAAACUCUGUUAUUAGGGAAGAACAAAUGUGUAAGUAACUAUGCACGUCUUGACGGUACCUAAUCAGAAAGCCACGGCUAACUACGUG